rnacentral:rRNA from 1 species
UACGGAGGGUGCUAGCGUUAUCCGGAUUCACUGGGUUUAAAGGGAGCGCAGGCGGAUUUGUAAGUCAGUGGUGAAAGGCUUAAGCUUAACUUGGGAACUGCCAUUGAUACUAUAAGUCUUGAAUGUUGUUGAGGUUUGCGGAAUGGGUCAUGUAGCGGUGAAAUGCAUAGAUAUGACCCGGAACACCUAUUGCGAAGGCAGCAGGCUAAACAAAUAUUGACGCUGAGGCUCGAAAGCGUGGGGAUCAAACAGG